ACAAGAUGGCGGAGAGUAUAAUAAAUCUCACCCUAGAGAUCCUCUUCCGGCUUACUGGAGAGGACUACACAGUAGUGAAGAAGACCUCUAGUGAGCGCUGUGAGGACCCUGUGUCUAAAAGAUGGGGAAGAACCCUGAGUUCAAUCAUGGAGCCUCCACCUCACCUCCUAAUACAUGAGGAAAUCAAUAGGGAGAAGAUCCUAGAACUCACCAACAAGAUGAUUGAGCUGCUGACUGGAGAGGUUCCUAUAAGGUGUCAGGAUGUCACUGUCUAUUUCUCCAUGGAGGAGUGGGAGUAUAUAG